AUACGGAAGGUCCGGGCGUUAUCCGGAUUUAUUGGGUUUAAAGGGAGCGCAGGCGGAGAUGCAAGCGUGACGUCAAAUUUCGGGGCUCAACCCCGUCUCGCGUCGCGAACUGCGUCCCUUGGUUGCGGGAAGGGGAGGCGGAACUCGUGGUGUAGCGGUGAAAUGCAUAGAUAUCACGAAGAACUCCGAUCGCGAAGGCAGCCUGCCGGCCCGUCAACGACGCUCAUGCUCGAAGGUGCGGGUAUCAAACAGGAUUAGAUACCCUGGUAGUCCGCACAGUAAACGAUGGAUACUCGCUGUCGGCGAUAUACGGUCGGUGGCCAAGCGAAAGCGUUAAGUAUCCCACCUGGGGAGUACGCCGGCAACGGUGAAACUCAAAUGAAUUGACGGGG
rnacentral:rRNA from 1 species